rnacentral:pre_miRNA from 1 species
UUAGUACUCCCUCCGUCCGGAAAUACUUGUCAUUGAAAUGGAUGUAUCUAGAUGUAUUUUAGUUCUAGAUACAUCCAUUUUCAUCCAUUUUGAUGACAAGUAUUUCCAGACGGAGGGAGUAUGUU